rnacentral:rRNA from 1 species
GAGAGGAACUUGUUCCUCGAGUCGUUGAUUUCACACUGCCGAGAAAAGCCUCUAGCUAGAAUAACGGUGCCCGUACCGCAAACCGACACAGGUAGUCAAGAUGAGAAUUCUAAGGUGAGCGAGCGAACUCUCGUUAAGGAACUCGGCAAAAUGACCCCGUAACUUCGGGAGAAGGGGUGCUCUUUGAGGUUCACGCUUCGAAGAGCCGCAGUGAAUAGGCCCAAGCGACUGUUUAUCAAAAACACAGGUCUCUGCUAAACCGUAAGGUGACGUAUAGGGGCUGACGCCUGCCCGGUGCUGGAAGGUUAAGAGGAGUGGUUAGCGCAAGCGAAGCUACGAAUCGAAGCCCCAGUAAACGGCGGCCGUAACUAUAACGGUCCUAAGGUAGCGAAAUUCCUUGUCGGGUAAGUUCCGACCCGCACGAAAGGCGUAACGAUUUGGGCACUGUCUCAACGAGAGACUCGGUGAAAUCAUAGUACCGGUGAAGAUGCCGGUUACCCGCGACAGGACGGAAAGACCCCGUGGAGCUUUACUGUAGCCUGAUAUUGAAAUUCGGUACAGUUUGUACAGGAUAGGUAGGAGCCUUAGAAGCGUGAGCGCUAGCUUACGUGGAGGCAUUGGUGGGAUACUACCCUAAUUGUAUUGGAUUUCUAACCCGCAGCACUUAUCGUGCUGGGAGACAGUGUCAGGCGGGCAGUUUGACUGGGGCGGUCGCCUCCUAAAGAGUAACGGAGGCGCUCAAAGGUUCCCUCAGAAUGGUUGGAAAUCAUUCAUAGAGUGUAAAGGCAUAAGGGAGCUUGACUGCGAGACCUACAAGUCGAGCAGGGUCGAAAGACGGACUUAGUGAUCCGGUGGUUCCGCAUGGAAGGGCCAUCGCUCAACGGAUAAAAGCUACCCCGGGGAUAACAGGCUUAUCUCCCCCAAGAGUUCACAUCGACGGGGAGGUUUGGCACCUCGAUGUCGGCUCAUCGCAUCCUGGGGCUGUAGUCGGUCCCAAGGGUUGGGCUGUUCGCCCAUUAAAGCGGUACGCGAGCUGGGUUCAGAACGUCGUGAGACAG